UACGAAGGGGACUAGCGUUGUUCGGAAUUACUGGGCGUAAAGCGCACGUAGGCGGAUUUGUAAGUCAGGGGUGAAAUCCCGGGGCUCAACCUCGGAACUGCCUUUGAUACUGCAAACCUCGAGUCCGAUAGAGGUGGGUGGAAUUCCUAGUGUAGAGGUGAAAUUCGUAGAUAUUAGGAAGAACACCGGUGGCGAAGGCGGCCCACUGGAUCGGUACUGACGCUGAGGUGCGAAAGCGUGGGGAGCAAACAGG
rnacentral:rRNA from 1 species